UCAUCACCCCCGUUUAUGUUCUUUUCAGGACUGAAGCAAGCUCAACUCCUUGGGAUCUGCAGCAGAGGAAUCUCUGGAUGCCUGAUUGCAGCUGACAGGUAAGCUGUGGA